CGCAGAACUUGACCCAAUUUAGUGUCACAUGAUAGCAUGUAUCAAACUUCAUUGCAGUAUAACACUUUAAGUAGGUGAGAUGGUAAGAGUGAGAAUCAGAGAAAAGAAUUAGUUAUUAUCGCUGCAGUUUCAAAUCUAACGUUUUUUCUGGAAUAUCCAAGAAAACGCCAUAGAAGAAGCAGUGCACAGAGUUUCCAGCUUGUAUAUCCUGAAAAGAUACAU
rnacentral:lncRNA from 1 species